UUAAAGAAAGAUUCAUGUGGUGAUCAGUUUCUUUCAGUUCCUUCACCCUUUACCUGGAGCAAACCAAAGCCUGGCCACACCCCUAUAUUUCGCACAUCUUCAUUACCUCCACUAGACUGGCCUUUACCAGCUCAUUUUGGACAAUGUGAACUGAAAAUAGAAGUGCAACCUAAAACUCAUCAUCGAGCCCAUUAUGAAACUGAAGGUAGCCGAGGGGCAGUAAAAGCAUCUACUGGGGGACAUCCUGUUGUGAAGGAAUCCAAGAUACGUUCAUCUUUUGAUGUCGUCUUUGAUGCACAGCUUCUACUGUCCAUGGGAAAGAAGAAGGUGUAUGGAAAGCACUCAAGAUACUUAACUACAUUAACCUGGAAAUUACUAUCAAUCAUCACCACUUACAAUUUUUUGGCUACAAGUAGUCACAUGGCCCUACUUACAUGCAGAAGUACUGGGAAAAGUAGUCCCUGGCUGGGCAGCCUUUCCUCAUCAAAACUCUGUAUUCUGUAGUAUAAUAUAGAACUCUAUACUUAAA
rnacentral:lncRNA from 10 species